CCUACGGGAUGCAGCAGUGGGGAAUAUUGGACAAUGGGCGAAAGCCUGAUCCAGCAAUGCCGCGUGUGUGAAGAAGGUCUUCGGAUUGUAAAGCACUUUCGACGGGGACGAUGAUGACGGUACCCGUAGAAGAAGCCCCGGCUAACUUCGUGCCAGCAGCCGCGGUAAUACGAAGGGGGCUAGCGUUGCUCGGAAUGACUGGGCGUAAAGGGCGCGUAGGCGGUUUAUGCAGUCAGAUGUGAAAUCCCCGGGCUUAACCUGGGAACUGCAUUUGAGACGCAUAGACUAGAGGUCGAGAGAGGGUUGUGGAAUUCCCAGUGUAGAGGUGAAAUUCGUAGAUAUUGGG
rnacentral:rRNA from 1 species